rnacentral:rRNA from 3 species
GGGUUGUGAGGUUAAGCGACUAAGCGUACACGGUGGAUGCCCUGGCAGUCAGAGGCGAUGAAGGGCGUGCUAAUCUGCGAUAAGCGCCGGUAAGGUGAUAUGAACCGUUAUAACCGGCGAUACCCGAAUGGGGAAACCCAGUGUGAUUCGUCACACUAUCAUUAACUGAAUCCAUAGGUUAAUGAGGCGAACCGGGGGAACUGAAACAUCUAAGUACCCCGAGGAAAAGAAAUCAACCGAGAUUCCCCCAGUAGCGGCGAGCGAACGGGGAGGAGCCCAGAGCCUGAAUCAGCAUGUGUGUUAGUGGAAGCGUCUGGAAAGGCGCGCGAUACAGGGUGACAGCCCCGUACACAAAAGCGCAUGUGCUGUGAGCUCGAUGAGUAGGGCGGGACACGUGGUAUCCUGUCUGAAUAUGGGGGGACCAUCCUCCAAGGCUAAAUACUCCUGACUGACCGAUAGUGAACCAGUACCGUGAGGGAAAGGCGAAAAGAACCCCGGCGAGGGGAGUGAAAAAGAACCUGAAACCGUGUACGUACAAGCAGUGGGAGCACCCUUUGGG